GUCGGUUCGUACAAGCGAUGAAGACUGACUCUCGUUCACUUUGGCAGAACUCGUGACACAGUCCGGAUCGUUUAAAAAGUUUAAUUACGACCGUGAUAUUUCGCGUCCUCUGAUCGUCGUCAAUUGCGAUCAGGUGAAAUCGUGGCAGUGAUUUUUUUUAAAGUUAACCGCAUUGAGUGCGUCUUGAAAAGUCGAGGUGUGAAGAAUUUUGGAGGCAGAUCUGUGAUCGAGCCUAGUUAGCAGGAGAAAUUUGCAGGUGUGAGGCCGCCGCAAUCAGAACGAGCGAGAAAGGAACCCAUCAACGCGGGUGGCUUAUCUGGAGCUGGAAAGCUCAAACGUGGUCGUCUGGGAGCGCAAUCCUGGAUCGGAAGCCGUUUUUUGGAACCGGAAGUGAAGUGUUUGUUAAUCUUGAACUUUGAGAAUCUUUUGGUGUGUCGGAAUUUGGGGACAGCC